rnacentral:rRNA from 1 species
AACAAACGCUGGCGGCGUGCCUAGCACAUGCAAGUCGUACGAGAAAGGGUCCUUCGGGGCCUGAGUAAAGUGGCGCACGGGUGAGUAACGCGUGAAUAAUCUGCCCUUCAGUUGGGAAUAACUCAUCGAAAGGUGGGCUAAUACCGAAUAAUGCUGUGAGACCUCGGUUGAUCAGCCAAAGAGAGCCUCUGCUUGCAAGCCCUCGCUGAAGGAUGAGUCCGCGUACCAAUAGCUAGUUGGUAGGGUAAUGGCCGACCAAGGCGACGAUGGUUAGCUUGUCUGAGCGGAUGAUCAGCCACACUGGAACUGAGACACGGUCCAGACUCCUACGGGAGGCAGCAGUGAGGAAUCUUGCGCAAUGGGGGCGACCCUGACGCAGCAACGCCGCGUGAGUGAGGAAGGUCUUCGGAUCGUAAAGCUCUGUCGGAUGGAAAGAACCGCAUAGGGGUAAACAGCCCCUGUGUCUGACGGUACCAUCAAAGGAAGCACCGGCUAACUCCGUGCCAGCCGCCGCGGUAACAC